UACGUAGGGGGCUAGCGUUGUCCGGAAUCAUUGGGCGUAAGGAGCGUGUAGGCGGCCCGGUAAGUCAGCUGUAAAAGUCAAAGGCUCAACCUUUGAAUGUCAGUGGAUACUGCCGGGCUAGAGUCCGGAAGAGGCGAGUGGAACUCCUGGUGUAGCGGUGGAAUGCGCAGAUAUCAGGAAGAACACCAACGGCGAAGGCAGCUCGCUGGGACGGUACUGACGCUGAGACGCGAAAGCGUGGGGAGCGAACAGG
rnacentral:rRNA from 1 species